rnacentral:rRNA from 1 species
GCAUGAAGCUGGAAUCGCUAGUAAUCGCGGAUCAGAAUGCCGCGGUGAAUACGUUCCCGGGUCUUGUACACACCGCCCGUCACACCAUGGGAGCCGGGAAUGCCCGAAGUCAGUGGCCCAACCGCAGGGAGGGAGCUGCCGAAGGCAGGCCUGGUGACUGGGGUGAAGUCGUAACAAGGUAAC